rnacentral:lncRNA from 1 species
UUACUUACAGAACCCCACAUAGCCCAAGUCUGAAAUGCCUCCUUUGACUGUUAGUGCACUGUCUUUCAGCAACUGUACAGGGAAAUCAAGUCCCCUCUUCAUGUCUCUUGAUCUUCACCAGACUUGAAGAACCUGUAGUUCUUGGAGCUGGAGUUUCCACAAGCGGCUACAAUGUCUGUAAUAUAAAGCAAUUAAGCGAUUGGUAGUUGUAUUGUUGAGCCAAAUGGAGGGACAAAUAUGUCAUCUGCUGCUGAAGGACUGAGGGACAAGGAGUAGGUUCCUGUAAGUGUCUGUGAAAUUCCACAAAGAGUGAUAUUAUUAACUCAGAUAUACUGACAUUGUGCAGAAGCAGAGAGAAUAUUUUACCUCAGGGGCAACCUUUUAGGACAUCUGAGUUCCAGGAUCUCCAGGGCUGUUCCAUGUCUACACUGCCUUCAAAGGAAGCACACAGAGGGGGUUGCCUUCACAGCACCCUCAAAACAAUUGAGAAUCAGCUCACUUUGUACAGCUCUUCCUUCCCUGACAGCCCUUCCUGUUAAAAGGUUUGUGAAUGAGAAACUUUUCUUACUGGAGGUACAAAAUCACACACCCU